rnacentral:rRNA from 1 species
UACGGGGGGGGCAAGCGUUGUUCGGAAUUACUGGGCGUAAAGGGCUCGUAGGCGGCCAACUAAGUCAGACGUGAAAUCCCUCGGCUUAACCGGGGAACUGCGUCUGAUACUGGAUGGCUUGAGGUUGGGAGAGGGAUGCGGAAUUCCAGGUGUAGCGGUGAAAUGCGUAGAGAUCGGGAGGAACACCAGUGGCGAAGGCGGUGGCCUGGACCGAUGCUGACGCUGAGGCGCGAAAGCGUGGGGAGCGAUCCGG